rnacentral:rRNA from 1 species
AUUGAACGCUGGCGGCAGGCCUAACACAUGCAAGUCGAGCGGAGCGGCGGACGGGUGAGUAAUGCCUAGGAAUCUGCCUGGUAGUGGGGGAUAACGUCCGGAAACGGGCGCUAAUACCGCAUACUAUCAGAUGAGCCUAGGUCGGAUUAGCUAGUUGGUGGGGUAAAGGCCUAACAAGGCGACGAUCCGUAACUGGUCUGAGAGGAUGAUCAGUCAAACUGGAACUGAGAAACGGUCCCGACUCCUACUGUAGGCAGAUGUGGGUAAUAUUGGACAAUGGGCCAUAGCCUGCUCCAGCCAUGCCGCGUGUGUGAAGAAGGUCUUCGGAUUGUAAAGCACUUUAAGUUGGGAGGCGUUACCAACAGAAUUAGCACCGGCUAACUUCGUGCCAGCCGCCGCGGUAAUAC